UAUUUGAUUUGUUAAUAAAGUGAGCGUAUCUUCAAAUUAGUGGAGUGUUGAGUGUAAUUUACCAAAAAUUGAGCACUUAAAAAGCUAUAACAACUAUUGAUGCAAAGAAGGAAAAGUUCCCUUUCAAAAAUAAUUGCAAUUAUUUUAACCUAAUUUCACUUUUUGCAUCUACACUGUUCCUUUUUCAACAAAUCAAGAAUUCGCACAAAUUUCUUCGGUUUCUCAAAUUUGUGUUCUCAUUUUUUCAUCUCUUUUUCUGUCCUCUAGCGCUAUACUAUCCGGAUUAUUUACACGCAAGUUUUUGAUUGAACAGUGUUGCAAGCAGCAGUAUAUAAAAAGUAUGGGGAUU